rnacentral:lncRNA from 1 species
UCUUUCGUGCUUUCUGUUCACUUGCUCCGCAAUUUACGCAAAGACUCUCUUACCAUUGACUUUAUUACAAUUUCUACAAGAAAAUUCGAACUUCAAGACUAAGCAAAAAUCCUAGGAAUCAAGCUGGAAGCUACAAUGCUGUUUCAGGGAAGCACAUGAUAUACAAAUACAACCCUUAUAAGUUACAGCUUCGGCACUGACCAGGAGACUGUAAGUACUGGCCAUGGAUGCAGAAGAAGAAAGGCUAAGUAAAACCCACAUCCAUGGCCAAUUGGUAGAGAUAAACCACAAUCAGGAGAAACGAAUACGCCACGAAGAAACAAAGGCGCAGAAUCUGACAACUGGGUUUGCGGUCGUCCAAGCUUUAAUUCUCAACACAGGGGUGAUCAAUAAGCCAUCCAACAGAUGCGAACACUGGUGGGUGCCAUUCUCUCUCUCCUUAUCCGUCGGUGUGAUUUAUUUCAUCACCAUUUUUGAGGUGUUGAGGAAAUGGUACCUUCUGCUCUACCAUUUGGACGUCAACUACCUGGAGCAAGAACUUAUUCUACUGGAAAUGCAUGGGGGUGCUCCGUCCUGGCGAAAUGAUCAGCCAUUGAAGCCAGAUGUGGUGAAGCUCCUGAGGCGUAAAGCUUAUAUCACGAUACUGAUUUCUGCUAUGCUCGCCUUUCAAGCUCUGAUGCUCCACGCCUGCAGAUCCUUUCUUUGCAGCUGAAAGUAACCAUCUUCCCCUUUAAAUAAAUACUAGAAUAAAAAAAAAAAUUGUUGUUUAUUAUGCCAAAUUUCUCGAUGCCUUUGAAGAGUGUCAUGGGAAAGGCUAUUAAGAUGCAAACUACAUAAUUCAAAAUGCAUUAUAUGCAACGAAAUUAUUUACCAUGAAAUUUAUUUAUAUUGUUUUUCUUUCUAAAGUAUUCAAAAUGCAUGAUAUGCAAUCGAAAAAUUUGAGGGAAAAUAUUACAGAAAGAAAAUAGAGAGAAAAAGUAGAAUAAAAAAAUGAAAAAAAAUAAAAAAUAUAUUUAAAGUCAAUAAAUUAUUUUUAUAUUUUAUUUUAAACUCAUUUUAUUUAUUUUAACUCAUGAUAUAAAAUUAAAUAAUUUUAAAAUAUAUAAAAUUUUAAUUAAUUUUAAUUAUAUUUGAUUUGAGAAACUCAUUUUACUACACAUUUUUUUUUCCCUUUUUCAGUAGUUUUGGCAACCAAACAUUUACCUAAAAUUUUGUUAAUGCAUCUCCCUAGGUGUUUGUGCUCACAUAUUGGGCCCAAGAAUGGGUUCCUGCAACUACCAUCAGUGGGCUGGGCUGCCCAAUCAAUAACAAAAGGGCACUCACCUGGGUCUCAUGGGCCGAAAAAAAUGGAGCCCAUACACAACAGUUUUGAACCCAAACAUAAAUUUCAAGUUCAUAUAUACUUUUAAUCUCGUUUAUUCAUUCAUAUUAGAAAUCUAGAUUUAUAUUAAUUCAUUCAUGUAGAUCUAUAUAUUAGGAAUCAAAUUAGAGUGCAUAGAAACCAAAAUUAAGAGAGAGGAUUAUACCCAAGGAAGUUUUGUGUGAUACGUUGAACCGAAAGUGAUAAAAACUAAGGCUAUGUUUGGUUCCCGGAAAAUUUGAGGGAAAAUGCGAGGGAAAGAAAAUACAAAGGAAAAGUAGAAGGAAAGAAAAAGUGAAGGAAAAUAAAAAAAUAUAUAAAAAUUUGAUAAAUUAUUUUUUUUGUUACUUCAAACUCAUUUUAUUUAUUUUAACUCAUCAAUAUAAAGAUUAAAUAAUUUAAAAAUACAUAAGCUUUUAAUUAGUUUUAAUUAUAUUUGAUUUUCUUUGAUAUUUUUCAUAGGACAACCAAACAUGAGAAAAUCAUUUUCCUUAGCAUUUUUUUUCUUUCCUUUGUACUUUCCGGGAACCAAACAUAGCCUAAGACUAUGUUUAAUUCUCAAAAAGCAAUAAGGAAAGAAAAAAAAUGAAGGAAAAUUAUUUUUUCGUAUUUUAUUUUUCUAUGAAAACCUUGAAAGGAAAUAAAAUAUAAUUAAAAAUUUAUUAUAUAUUUUUAAAUUAUUAAUUUCCAUAUAAAAGAGGAACAAAAUGUCAGAUGAAUUUGAAGUAACAAAUAAAAAUAAUUUAUAAGUUUUAAAUUCAUUUUUUUAUUUUCCUUAAUUCCUUCUUUUACUUUUUCUUUCUAUUUUCUUUCCCUCACAUUUUCUCUUGGAUUUUCUAAGAACCAAACAUAAUAUAAAAAAUAUUUAAUAUAAAAAAACAAAUAAUAUAUAAAAAAACCCAAAUAAUUUGACAUGUGGUAUAUUGUUGCUAGUCAAAGUAAUGGUCGUGGGUGACUUUUAGAAGCCUCCAAUAAGAAAUGGCCAAAAAACCUAUGAGCUCGGCAUUUAUUUGAGUAUCUCGAGGACAAUAUUUUAUUUUUAAUUAUGUGUUUUAAUUCAUUGUUUUUUUUCUUUAAUAUUAUUUUAGAAAUAUGUUUAGAGAUAUGUUAAUUUUAGUGCUUAAAAAGAUUUUGAAAUAUAAAGAUUUUGAUAAUUAAAAAUUCGUUUAAAAAUGAUUUUAGGAAGCAUUUAACCUAUUUAAUCUUUAAAAUUUUUAUAAAAGAGUUGUUUUCAAGUGCUAAAAAAAUUAGAGACAUUUUAUAAAAUUACUAUUAAAUAAAUUCUAAAUAUAAUCGAGUCGUGUGACUAUAAAUUGCUAGACUUUUCCAUGUGAUUAAUCCUUGGAUACUUGGAAUUUGUUUAUGUGGGGUAGAGCUUUUGUGAGUUUGUUUGCAAUUUUCUCAUACUAGAAACAAAUGAAUGGUCAGAGAAAGGAACAUAGAAAAGAGAAGAUUGAAACACCUUCACCUGCUCCGAAGGUUCGUAUGAUCUUCAUGCCAGCCUCCAUGCCUCAUUUUCCCGCUUAUAAAAAAAGGCCACAAAAGACUUGACUGAUCUGAUAAAGCAGGGCCGGAAAAGCGAGCUCGACACGAAGAAACGAAAGCCGGCCAAUGCAGUCCGAGAGAUCACACAGCGAACUGUUCGAGUCUGGGCUUUUGUUUCUUCGUGUCGGUCUUGCUUCUGUCUCCGGCCGGAGGAACAAAAUUGUACAGACAUGGAUGGGAAGAACUCCUGUAAUAUCAAGAGUCCUUCUAUCUUUGGAUUGUUAUAAUAAUAUUAUCUUCAAAACAAAAUUUAUGCAAGUGGGGGUAUAUUUUUUAUUUUUUGUUUUUGAAAAUAGGAAGUUUUAUACAAAAUAUAAAAAAAUCUUAUAUGAAAGAUAGGUAUAAUAUUGUUAUGUUAUUUGAAAACAUUUUUUAAAAUUGACGGAAGUAAAAAAAUUUCAAUUCCAUAAAUUUUUAAAUUUUGAAAAAGUCUUUAAGAAGGGUAGGUAAGAGGAUGCUUGUUAAUGGUUAGAAAAUAGUUUUAUAUGUUUUAGAACAAAAGAAUAAUAAAAAAAAACAUGCUUAAUGAUUAGAAAACAGUUUAUACUCUUAAAAAACAAAAAAUCGGAGUGUUUUUAGAUAAUAUCUUUUAAUUUUUAAAAUUAUUUUUAUUUAUUGAAAAAUAAUCAUACAAAAUGCAGAAUGAUUAUGAGUAAAGUAUUACAUGUGAAACUUAUUUUUAAAAAAUAUUUAAAAACAUAAAAAAAAAGUUAAUAACAGUUCAAGUUUCCAAACAAACUAUUAUUUUACAAAAUAUUAUAUAAGAAUUUUAAAAAAUAGUUUUAAAAAAUACUUUUCGAACACAGUUUAAAUUUUUUUCUUUUUGUAUAAAAAUUCUUAUAUUUUGUAUAAGGGUUUUUAUUUUUAAAAAUAAAAAAAAUAAGAAAUAUAUUCAAAGAUAUUUAAUAAACAAUAAGAAUUCAAAAGAGAAAGCCUUAAAUUUUAUGUUAUUAUUGUAAAAUGAGAAUAAAUGUGACUCAAAUAAUAGUAGGGAUGACUAUGUAUUACUUUAAUAAUAUAUAUAUAUAUAGAGGGGGAGGGGGGAAGAAAUCAAAGAGAAGUGUUGAGAGAAUGAAAGAAAGAGAUAGAGAGAAUGAGAGGAAGAAAAUUUCUUUCUUUUUCUCGGGAUGCUCUUACAUGGGGUAUAAGAAGCCUUUUAUAGGAUUCAUAAUAUGAACUCCCAUUACUCAUCUUAAAGAUGAGUAAAUGGAGUUCAUAAAUGACCAUCAAUGUGGUCAUUUAUCACUUCAUUUACAACAUUCCCCCUUGGAUGACCACCUUAUUAAAAGAAUAUGUCUCAUUAAAACCUUGCUAGUAAAAAAUUUUAUAGGAAAAACCUAGCGAAGGAAAAAGAGUAUAAUAUUCUUUUCUUGGUAUAUUAGGACUGCCUCGUUAAAAACCUUGCCAAUAAAACCCAGUAGGACAAAACCUGGACGAAUGAAAAAAGAGUACAGUAUACUAACACCCUUUUACAAGCAUACUCCCUCUCAUGUCGAUAUCCUUGAGUUGACGCAUUCCAAUCAUAUAUAUUAAUUUCUUGAAUGUUGAGGUUGACAAUGAUUUUGUGAAUAAAUCUGCUAGAUUAUCACUUGAGCGUAUUUGUUGCACAUCAAUUUCACCACUCUUCUAGAGUUCAUGUGUACAAAAGAAUUUUGGUGAAAUGUGUUUAGUUCUAUCUCUUUUAAUAUAACCCCCUAUUAUUUGUGUAAUGCAUGUAGCAUUAUCUUCAAAUAAUAUUGUCGGGUCACCUUUGAUAGAGGAGAGUCCACAUGAUUCCCGAAUAUGCUGGACCAUAGAUCUUAGCCUUAUACAUUGAUGACUUGCUUCAUGAAUUGCCAGUAUUUCUGAAUGAUUUGAUGAUGUGGUCACCAUUAUUUGUUUGACAUCUUUCCAUGAAAUAGUAGUACCAUUGCAAUUAAACACAUACCCUAUUUGUGACCUACCUUUAUGUGGAUCUGAAAGAUAUCCUGCAUCUGCAUAUCCAAGCAAUUGUUGCUUUGAUUCCGUUGAGUAAAAUAAACCCAUAUCAAUAGUUCCGCAAAGAUAACAUAAUAUAUGUUUGAUACCAUUUCAAUGUCUUCGAGUUGGAGUGGAACUGUAUCUUGCUAAUAAAUUGACAGAAAAAGCAAUGUCUGGACGUGUACAAUUGGCAAGAUACAUAAGUGCACCAAUAGUACUAAGAUAUGGUACUUCAGGACCAAGUAACUCUUCAUUUUUUUCGCAAGGACGAAAUGAGUCAUUUUUCACAUCAAGUGAUCGGACAACCAUUGGAGAACUUAAAUGAUGCGCUCUAUUCAUAUAAAAGCGCUUCAAAAAUUUCUUAAUGUAUGUUGAUUGAUGUACUAAAACUCAAUUUGGAAAAUGCUCGAUCUGCAGGCCGAGAUAAAAUUUUGUUUUUCCAAGAUCUUUCAUCUCAAAUUCCUUUUUCAAGUAAUUUGUUGUUCUUGUGAGUUCUUCAGGAGUUCCAACAAGAUUUAAGUCAUCGACAUACACUGUAAUAAUUGCAAAUCCGAUUUCUGAUUUCUUAAUGAAGAUGCAUGGGCAUGUAGGGUUAUUCACAUAUCUUUUUUUUUAGCAAAUAUUCGCUAAGACGAUUGUACCACAUGCGUCCAAAUUGCUUUAAUCCAUACAAGGAUCGUUGUAACUUGAUUUAGUACAUGCUAUGAGACUUUGUACUAUUUUCUCCAGGCAAUUUAAAUCCUUUAGGGAUUUUCAUGUAUAUAUCAUUAUCCAUGGAUUCGUAUAAAUAUGCUGUAAUAACAUCCAUGAGAUGCAUAUCCAAUCCUUCUGAGACUGCCAAACUAAUUAAGAAACGAAAUGUGAUUGCAUCCAUGACAGGAGAAUAUGUUUUCUCGUAGUCAAUACUAGGUCUCUACGAGAAACCUUGUGCUACUAAUCGCGCUUUAUAUUUUAUGAUAUCAUUAUUCUCAUUGCGCUUUCGUACAAAUACCCAUUUGUACCCAAUAGGCUUUACAUCCUCAGGUGUUUGGACUACAGGUCCAAAAACUUCUCGUUUUGUUAACGAGUUUAACUCUGCUUGUAUAGUUUCUUUCCAUUUUAGCCAAUCAUUUCUAUGUCGACAUUCUUCCAUAUUUCGUAGUUCGGGAUUUUCAUCAUUUCUUAUGACUUCAUAGGCCACUUGGAAAGCAAAAAUAUUGUUAAUAACAAUAUUAUUUUGAUCCCAUUUUUCUCCCGUGUGUACAUAACUUACUAAGAUCUCACAAUUUUCAGGUACCUAUGCCUCUUUAGGGGCUUCUCGUUCAAUAUGUGGCUCUUCAUGGGCUUCUUGUUCAAUAUGUACCUCUUCAGGGGCUUUCUGUAUUAUUUAUGCCUCUUCUAGGGUUAUAAAUUUAUCAAUUUUAAAUUGAUCAGUCAUUUUGAUGACCUCUUCUAGAGUGCCAAGUUUUUCUUGGGUUCUCAUUUCUGGGAAGAUACAUUCUUUGAGCCAACAAGUUUACCACAUUUCAGGCGUAUCUUAGAUUCAUUUGUUAACUGUCCUACAGGGACAUCGAUCUGUGCUGAGUAUUUGCAGCCGGGAUAUAUGACUUUGUCACUUUCUUUGUAUUAAUGAAUGCAUAUGGUAAUUGAUUUGCAAGAUUUUGCAAAUGAAUGAUCCUUUGGAAGAUGGGUCAUAGUAGAUGCCUUCCAACUAAUUUCUCAUCGUUCUUUAGAAAUUGACUUUUCUCCCCUCUAAUGACUGGAAAACACUCUCAUUAAAAUGACAAUCCGCAAAGCGGGCAGUAAAAACAUCACCUGUUAAAGGUUCAAGAUAUCUUAUGAUAGAUGGAGAAUCAAAACCUACAUAAAUCCCAAGUCUUCGUUGGGAACCCAUUUUAGUGCGUUGUGUAGGUGCAAUUAGUACAUAAACUGCACAACCAAAGAUUUGUAAGUGAGAGAUAUUUGGUUGUUUUCCAAGCACAAGUUGUGAAGGGGAGUAUUCAUGGUAAGUUGUAGGUCAAAUACGGAUUAAAGCUGCAGCAUGCAUAAUAGCAUGUCCCUAGGCAGAAGUAGGUAAUUUGGUUCUCAUUAGUAAUGGUCGAGCUAUUAAUUGGAGAUGUUUGAUGAAGGAUUCUGCUAAACCAUUUUGGGUAUGAGUAUGAGCAACAAGAUGCUCAAUAUUUAUCCUUAUUGACAUGCAAUAGUCAAUGAAUGUUUGAGAAGUAAAUUCGCCAGCAUUAUCAAGACGUAUUGUCUUAAUUGGAUAAUCUAGAAAUUGUGCUCGUAAUCUGAUUAUUUGUGCAAGGAGUCUAGCAAAGGCAACGUUACGUGUAGAAAGGAGACAAACAUGUGACCACCUAGUAGAAGCAUAUAUUAAGAUCAUAAAAUAACGGAAUGGUCCACAUGGUGGAUGGAUAGACCCACAUAUGUCCCUAUGUAUUCUUUCUAAAAAGACUGGUGACUCAGAUUGACUUUAGUAAAAGAUGGUCUCAUUAUCAAUUUACCUUGUGAGCAGGCAACACAUGAGUAUUCAUUGGGUGAAAGAAUCUUCUAGUUCUUUAGUGGAUGUGCAUGUGAGUGUUCGAUUAUUCGACGCAUCAUUGAAGACCCUGGGUGACCUAGCCUGUCAUGCCAAAGGACAAAAACUUUUGGGUCGUUGAACUUCUGGUUCACGACAACAUAUGAUUCAAUAGGCUUUAUAGUUGUAUGAUACAACCCAGAUGAGAAAUUCGAGAGUUUUUCCAUUAUAAGCUUCUGGCCAGAUAUAAUGGAAGUAAUGUAAAUAUAUUCUAUAUUAUCUUCAUUCAUAGUUUCAAUAUGAUAUCCAUUUUUGCGGAUAUCUUUAAAACUGAGCAAAUUUCUUCUGGAUUUGCUAGAAUAUAAAGCGUCAUUUAUAUGGAAUCUAGUUCCAUUUGGCAACGUUAUGUUUGCUCUUCCAGAACCUUCAACUAAGUUUGUAGUACCAGAUAUGGUACUUACAUUAGCUUUUAUUAAUGUCAAUUCAAGAAAAUAUCUUUUAUCUAGAAGAAUUGUAUGCGUGGUCGCACAGUCUACGAGACAUACAUCAUCCUCAUUCAUCUUGAGACCAAAUAACACAUGGAUUUCAGAUAUAACAAAAUAAAACAAGGCAUAAUGUAAAUAACAAAGUAAAUCAGAUGUAAAUAUAAGACAUAAUAAUAUAUUAUUUCAUAUAUAAAGUAACAUCAAUCAAUGUUAAUUUUCUCAUCAUUUAUCAAAUGGUCUGUUUUUUCAUUGGGACCUCCAAAGAAAUCAAUGUUAUAGUAGGUUAGGUCUAAUCCAUCACCAUCGGUAAAGUUCAUCUCUAUCUCUUUUCUUUUUGCUUUUAUUGAUGCUUGGUAAAGGUCGACUAAAUGUUUGGGCAUACGACAGGUACGCGACCAAUGCCCCUUCAUACCACAUCUAUAACAAUUAUUCUCGUGGUUCUUAGGAGGUUUAUCUUGUAAAUACUUCCCAUUUUAUUGUAUUGUCUCAGUAUUGUUCCAUUUCUGGUGGUGCAAUGAGGCUUUCAUUUUCUGAGAAUUAUUACUAUAAGAACCAUGGUAUCGGGGAUUUCUUCCACGAUCACGACCACGUCCACGAGUUUGGGACGAUAUUGCAUUGUUCAGAUCUAGUUGGACGAGAUUGGUGAUUUCUCAUCAAAAUCUCAUUAUUUUGUUUAGCAACAAGAAGACAUGAUAUUAAUUCAGAAUAUUUUGUAAAUCUACGCUCUCGUUAUUGCUGCUACAAGAGCACAUUCGAGGUAUGAAACGUAGUAAAAGUUUUCUCUAACAUGUCUUCUUCUGUGAUUUUUUCUCCACACAGCUUUAAUUGAGAGUUGAUUUUGAAAAGUGCGGAGUUGUAUUCACUAACAGUUUUAAAAUCUUGCAACCUUAGGUGCAUUCAAUCAUAUCGAGCUUUUGGGAGAAUCACAGUUUUCUGGUGGUCAUAUAUUUCCUUCAAAUUACUCCAUAGAGUAAAAAAGUCCUUUACCAUAAGAUACUCAUUUUUUAAAGCUUCAUGGAAGUGAUGGCGAAGGAAAAUCAAUGCUUUUGCGCGAUUCUGCAGGGAUGCUUGAUUUCUUUCUUUGAUUGUAGCUCCAAGGUUCAUUGCAUCAAGAUGUAAUUCAGCAUCAAGGAUCCAAGAUGGAUAGUUCUUUCCCAAAAUGUCAAGUGCCACAAAUUCGAGUUUUGUGAUAGUCGACAUUGUCAAAUAACUUCAUAUAUAUGACAAAACAAUAUUAUUAGAAUCAAUUAUAAUAACUUGAUAGCAUUGGUAUAACUUUGAUUAUAAACAAAAUCAAAUAAUUUGUUUAUAACUUUUAACAAUAUGUAACAAAACAAAUCAACAAUAAUAUAACUAUGUAAAAUUUUAUCCUAUAUAAAUAACUUCAGGUUUAAGAUACGAGAAUUACCUUCAAAGCAAUUCGUGCUGAUAACGUGUUGUAAAAGGAGAAUAAAUGUGACUCAAAUAAUAGUAGGGAUGACUAUGUAUUACUUUAAUAAUAUAUAUAUAUAUAUAUAUAGAGGGAGGAGGAGGAGGAGGAGGAGGAGGAGGGGGGAGGGGGGGGGGGGGGGACCAAAACAAAAAAAAAUGUUGGGAAAAUGAAAAAAAAAAAGAGAAAGAAUGGGAGGAAAAAAAUUUUUUUUUUUUUUUCAGGAUGCUCUAACAUGGGGGGGAAAAAGCCUUUUAUAGGUUUUCUAAUAAGAACUCCCCUUACUCCUCUUAAAAAUGAGUAAAUGGAGUUCAUAAAAGACCCUCAAUGUGGUCCUUCCUCACUUCCUUUUCAACAAUUAUUAAUUUUUUGUAUUACUUAAAAGGGNNNNNNNNNNNNNNNNNNNNNNNNNNNNNNNNNNNNNNNNNNNNNNNNNNNNNNNNNNNNNNNNNNNNNNNNNNNNNNNNNNNNNNNNNNNNNNNNNNNNGGGAGGGGGGGGGGGGGGGACGAAAUCAAAGAGAAGUGUUGAGAAAAUGAAAGAAAAAGAGAGAGAGAAUGAGAGGAAGAAAAUUUCUUUCUUUUUCUCAGGAUGCUCUAACAUGGGGUGUAAGAAGCCUUUUAUAGGUUUCAUAAUAUGAACUCCCAUUACUCAUCUUAAAGAUGAGUAAAUGGAGUUCAUAAAUGACCAUCAAUGUGGUCAUUCAUCACUUCAUUUACAACAGUUAUUAAUUUGUUGUAUUACUUAGAGGGGGUGAAUGAAUUGAAAGCACUAUGGAGGUAAGCUUUUUAGUCUUUUCACCUUAUCCUUUUUAUACAUAAUGUCUCCAUCAAUGAUGUUCAGUAUAUUCCUUAUUUUUGUUUUACUCAAGUGUUCCUGUAUUGUAGCCCUCUCAAGACUCUUCCUCUUCACUCCAAACAAGUUAAUUGUCUUCAUAUCAAAGUAACAUAAGUUGAUUUUCUUAGAGGGCUAAUGCUACUUAUGUGAUUAUUUCUUUUACAAAAGUUGCAAAUAGUACUAUUUGAGGAUUCCUUGACAAAAUAAUUUUUAAAUUUUAAUUUUUUUAUUUUUUAUUUUUAUAGAGCUUGUAUCCUAAUCCCUUUAUGCCAAAGAUUAUUUUUUUACUUGCCAAAAUUAUCAAAAUUCUUGUCCCCAUUUGAGAAUUUUGAAAGAGAAGAGAUUAACUAAUGAAUUUUCUUUUCAAGUAAGUAUAUAUUUUAUUCCAAGGAAAACCUUAGCCUUUUUCAGAUAUUUUAAACUCCCAUUUUAAGUUAUUAAUUUCAACUUGAAGAGAGAUGAUUUUCUUUUUAAGAUAAGCCUGAAAGUUAUUUGAUCUAGUUUAGGUAACACCUAGAGGAGUUGAAUGGGUGUUUAAAAUUUUCUGCUUAAAAAUGAAUUAUUUUAUAAUCAUAUAACAAACAUUUUUUCAAUUUAGGAAAGCCUAAAAACACUCAAUACAAAAACAUAAGAUUUUUAUAUGGAAAACCACCCAUAUCAUGUGCGGAUGUAAAAACGACAAAGUCAGACUUUUAAUCAUUAAUUAACUAUUUGAAAGUAUUAUACAUGGUUUUAGUUGGUGGAAGCUAUCGUUAAGUCUUAUUACCCAACACCUACAAUGCACUUCACAUUUGCGAUAUAGCACUACAUGUGCUCUUAGUGGAUCUAACCUCAGUGCUUGAGAGGAUGUAGAUCUCCUUUUCAAUCCAACAUAAGCGAAAACAACAUUCCUUAAGAGUUUUAGGAAUAAGAUGACGAAUUUGGUUUUUCAAAAAAUUUGCAUCAAACCAAAAACCUUUUUAGGUAAAACAUUUAUAGGCAUAAGAAGCUAGCGGACUGGAUCUACAAUUUUCCAAAAUAAGACCUUAAAAAAAUUUAGAAAAUCAAAGUUCCAAAAACUUUGGAGAAUUCUAUCAUGGGUGUUUGAGUGCUCAUGGGAGCACUUGAGUGCUUAUGGAGAUUUUUUAAACUUUUUAAAAAUUCUUUUAGCUCAGUUUUAAAACCCUUAGUUCGCACUAUGCCUUAACAAACACCAAUUUGUCAUUCUUGAACCUUUUGAUUUUUAGUUGUGCCAUCUCGAUUGAUCACAUAACAACUUUGAGUCUUCAAUGAAGAGUAAAACACAAUUAGAAAGAUUCUAAACUAGAAUGAAAGGAACAAAAUUGUUGAUCUUAAAUUAUAUAGCCUAAUAUACCAACAAUCUCCUAUGAUAAUUUUAUGAAAAAAAAUACAAAUUACAUAAACCCCCUAAUACUCUUUAAUGGAGUUUAAGAAUUUCUCAAUAACUCUCGUCUAAACCAAAUCAUUCUUGAACAUACAGAUGAUGAUAAAUCACAUCUAAAAGUGGGCAAUACCCCACUACUUGUGACCUGCACACACAAACCAACCAAGUACCCAAGUAAAACAAUGUGUGAGAGAAAACACAACUCAAAUUCUAUCAAAUCAAGGUAAGAGUAGAUGGAUGUGAGUCAUGCAUACAAUGGAUAUCUAAUCAAUAGUAUCAAUAAAUUGUCUCCCCGUUUUUGUCGCAAAAAUGACAAAGAAGGAAUAAACAAUGAAUGCACAUAAGAGAAAGAGAAAUAAUUAAGCAAAAGAACUUCAACUUAUUUUUAGAAUGCUUCUUUCUUGGUAAGAUCUCUUAAGAAACCCUUCUUGAAAAUAGAAUUUUUUUUUUGUUUUGUUUUUUAUGAUGGAAAAUUGCUUUCUACCUUAAAAACUAUAUUUGGUAAAAUUUCACUAAAAUAAGUUUUUGAAAAUAGGUUAUUUUUUUGGAACAAAAGCUUUUAAAUAUCUAUAUAUAUAUAUAUAUAUAUUGUAGAAUAUUUCAAGAAAUAGUUGAAAAUAUGAAAAAUGUUUCGAGAACCUUUGUAUUUUAGAUUUGUGCACUUCAAUUUCAUGAACAAUAUUAAACUAAGAAAACUGUUUUUUAUAUACUAAUUUCUAAAUAAAAUUUUGUUGCUGGAAAUAACUAAAAUUUAUUUUAAAAAACUAUUUUUUAAGAAUUAUUUUUGAAAACGUUGCUAAAAAGACAAAAGUCCUUGGUCAUUUUUUUUUUCUUUUAUAUUUUUAUCUUUAUGUAAGAGGCCGGUCUUUUUUUUUUUUUUAAUGUUCCAUAAUCCUUGUGAUAUUGUAACGUGUAAUUCAUUUAUUUGACUUCAAAAGUUAAGAAAUAAUGAACCUUUCAUUAUUGUAGUUUGUCUUGUAGUAAGAGACUUAAAAAUCCAUGUACAAGAGGUCUUCGUUUCUUAAGUCAAGUCAACAAAAUGGAGGUGGAAGAAAUAAUGAACUUUCAUUAUUGUAGUUUGUCUUGCUAAAAGCCAUGUAUAACGGGUCUUCUUUUCUUAAGUCAAGUCAAUAAAUCAAAUUAAAAGAAAUAAUAAACUUUUAUUAUUGUAUUUUAUUUUGUAGCAAGAGACUUAAAAAACCAUGUAUAACAAGUCUUCCUUUCUUAAGUCAAGUCAAUAAAUCAAAUUAAAAGAAAUAAUAAAUUUUCAUUAUUGUACUUUGUUCUUGUAGCAAGAGACUUAAAAAUCCAUGUAAGAGGUCUUCAUUUCUUAAGUCAAGUCAAGUCAAUAAAUCGAAUCGGAAGUUUUUCCUUUUUUUUUUUUUUAAACCAACUUCUACUAUUACUUUUAUUAGUUAUUUUGAUCAUUUGAUUAAAUAUUGAAUUAUUAUUAUUUUUUAAAAAUUUUCAAGUACAAACCAUUUCAUGUUAAAAAAUUUAAAGUGGAUGUAACUUUCUUUUCAAGUUAAGAUAUCUUGAUUAAGGGAUAAAUAAUGGAUUGCAAUAUUUCAACUUUAAUUAAGUUAAUUUAUCAAUAUUCAAAUUAAGUUGGAGAAAAAAAAAAAAAAAAAGACAACACCUCAAUUUUAGUUUUCCAUUACACAUGAUUAUUUCUUUUUCUUCUUUUUCCUUUGCUUCUUUAACACGCAAUGAGAGCUCUAGUCAUCAUACCUUUCAAGACUCUAAACUUACAAAAAUUUUCAGUCUUUUCAUCGUAUCUUUUAAAAUUCUUGACACUCAUAAAGUAUUUAAGACUUAAUUUUAAUAAAUUCAUAUUUUUACAACUAUAACUAAGAGCUUUGACCUAUUAAAAAAAUGAAUAAAAAAUACUUUGCAAGACAUUAAAAGUUCAUAAUUAUUUCUUUUACCUUAAAUGUAGUUGUUAUGUGUUUGCUAGUUCACAUAUUUGAGCGUGGACCGUGGCGACCUGCAGACCCGGAGGGGCAGCGUUGUCUAUCAGAUUUUAGAAAAUUCGUGCAACUAGCCAUAUGGUUUUGGACUAAAAUAAAAAAUAAGACUUUAUUUUUGUUAUUUCUUUUAUCAAGAUAUCUUAAUUAAUAAUUCAAAAAUGUUAAUAAUAAAUUAUAAAAGAGAUUUUUGCUACUCUUCGAAAUUAUAAAAAAGUUUAUACACUCAUAAAACAAAUAAUUAAAUGUAUCUUCUAAUAAAUAAAUUUUUAUUAAAAUAAAUAAAUAUAUAUCUACUUUGACUUUAUUAACAUGAAGUAAAUUGUAGGUAUCUUUAAGUUAGAUUUCUUAUUGAUUAAAGAAAAAGACCAUUCAAGGUUUAGCUAGAUGGAAAAAAAAAUUUUAUUUAUUAGAAAAUUCAAUUUUUUUUAUUGAUGAAUCAUUGAUAAUGAUAUAUAAAAAUAAUUUAUAUAUCAUAUAUUAAUAUUACUUUAUAAAUAUUUUUUAGUUUUUCUUUUUUAAUCAUAAAUUUAAUUUAUAAUUAAAAAAAUUAUUUUAUAAAAAAAAAAAAAUUUAUGAUAUAUCGGAUAUACAUAUCUUAUAUCUUAGUAUAAAAUUAACAUAUCUCGUGUAAAAAAAAAUAAAAAAGAGUGAAUAAUAUAUUUCACCACUUAUACUAUCUCAUCAUUAAUUAAAUAUAAAAUUUAAUGUGAUAUCUUCUCUUUUAUCCUAUAUGAUGUUAUAUUUGGUCAAUCAAACAUAACCUAUAAAACUAAAAUUAUAGAAAUGAAAUGCAAGAGACCUUACUGAAAAAUUGAAAGUAAAAUUAUUGAUUUUUGAAAGUAAAUAUUGAUAAUAUUAUAAAAUUUUCAUUAACAUAAAUUAAAAAAUUAAAGGAAAAAAAAACAUAACACUAUCCUCACAAUUCCGUGAUAUUGUUUUUUUCAUAUUAGAAAUCCUUAUAAUCAACUUUCCUGUUUUAAAAAUAAUUUUUAUUACUAAUUUAGAUUAAAAAAAAAAAAAAAAAACCUUUCAACCAACCACACAUGUGACACAUGGUGGUUGUUUUUGAAUUUCAAUAAAAGAUUUUAUAAUUAUUAAGAAAAGAAAAAAAUGUUAAGAAAAAUGAUUAUUUUUAUUUGAUUUUAUUAUGAAAUAUAUGAAAGUAAAAAUAUAUAAUUAAAAUUAAUAAAAAACUAAUAUAUUUUAAAAUUAUUUAAUUUUUAUUUUUAAAAAUUAAAUAAAUAAAAUAAAAUUAAAAAUAAUUUAUUAAUUUUAAAUUUAUUUUUUAUUUCUCUCUCACUUGUUCUUUAAGACGUGUUGCGUGUAAAAUACCAUAAAACAAGUCAUAUCACCAUGCUCAAGAUUUCAACAUGGUAGGUGUAGGUUUUGAAGACUUUUCCAUGUGAUUAACACUUGGAUACCUGAAUUUUCUUUGGGUGGGGUUGGGCUUCUGUAAGUUUCUCUGCAAUUUUCUCCUACUUGGAAACAAAGGAAUGGUCAAAGAGAGGAACUCAGUGAAGAGAAGAUUGAAACGGACUGGAUACACCCUCGCCUGCUUCGAAGGUUGGUAUGAUCUUCACGGUUGGUAGGCCUUCUCAAGUCUCCAUGCAUGCCUCAUUUUUCCCAUAUGAUAAAUCAAUGGUCGGAAGAGCGAGCUUAACACGAACAAACAUGAUAAAAUCAUUAAAUUUUUGGAAUAAUAAUAUGAUGAAGUUAAUAAAUGAUAAGGAUUAGGAAGAUGUUUAAUGAAAUUUUAAAUUAAUAAUAAUUAGAUGUAUUUAACCUAAACUUUUGGAGAGAUUAAUGAAAUUAAUCAUAUAAAAAUUUCUUUAAUUUUAAUUUUAGAAUAAAUAUUAACAAUAUUUUUUUCAAAUAUAAAUAAUAAUAUUUGGAAAACAUCAUCAGUAAAUUGCCUUUUCAAUUUUUUCUCUAAUUGUCAUUUUAAAUGAAUAUUAAAAUCCUUUUAGUAAAAUUUAUGAAUUUAGUAAAAUAUUAAUAUCUAUAUUUUAUAAUUUUUAAUAAAGUUUUAUCAUUUUUAAUAUAAAAAAAAUUAUAUAAGUUGUGUUUGUCUUAUUAGUAUCACUAUUUACAAAAUUUAUCUUUAUAUUAUUUAUUUUAAAAAUUAUUAUUUAUUAAGAAUCAUUUUUAUAAAAGGUAAAACAUAAUUAUCAUAUAAAUAUAAAUUAAAAGUGGAGGUUAUAUUUGUUAAUUAUUUUUAAAAAGGGAUUUCAAAACAUUACUUCUCCAAAAAUAACAAUAAUAAUAAUAUAAACACAAUAUUGACUCAAAAUAUUAUGUGAAUGAAAAACUUAAAAAUAAUAUAUAUUUGUUUUUUAAAAAAUAUUUUGUCAUAAUUAAAGGUCAUCUACUCAACAUGUUGGUGGGAAUGGUAUAUAAGUCAAUGCCUGCUUUGCUCACAAAUCAAAAACCAAAACUUGCUAAUCCUUGUUAUUACACACUAUCCUUGCUCUGUGUUGAACAUGGCUACAAGCCCCUUUCGAUAUUUUAUUUCCCUUUUUCUGCUUUUGCUCUGUUUCGAAGCCUGUUUGAGGGUGGGUGAUGCUAAAGUUGGGUGCAGAGAGAGGGAGAGGCAAGCUCUCCUUCACUUCAAACAAGGUGUUGUCGAUGACGAUGGAGUGCUUUCUUCAUGGGGGAAUGGGGAAGACAAAAGAGAUUGUUGCAAAUGGAGAGGAGUCAAGUGUAACAACCAGACGGGUCAUGUGAUCAGGCUUGAUCUUCAUGCCCAAUCUUUGGGAGGUAAGAUUGGUCCUUCAUUGGCAGAGUUGCAGCACUUGAAGCAUUUGAACCUCAGCUCGAAUGAUUUUGAAGGUAAUUAUAUACAUAUAUACCUUGUGAAAAUUCAUCAGUUUGUCUCAGCAGAAUAUAAUUCUCUCUUUUCCCAAUUUUACAGGAAUUCUUCCCACUCAACUCGGUAAUCUUUCCAACUUGCAAUCCCUUGAUCUUGGCUAUAAUUAUGGGGAUAUGACCUGUGGAAACCUUGACUGGCUUUGUCACCUUCCUUUCUUAACACACCUUGACUUGAGUUGGGUUAAUCUUAGUAAAGCAAUCCAUUGGCCCCAAGCAAUUAAUAAAAUGCCUUCCCUAACUGAGUUAUACUUGAUUGAUACUCAGCUUCCUUCGAUUAUUCCAACAAUAUCCAUUUCCCAUAUUAAUUCUUCUACUUCUCUUGCUGUGCUUCAUCUCCCCUCGAAUGGUCUCACUUCUUCAAUAUACCCAUGGUUGUUCAACUUCAGUAGCAGCCUUGUUCAUCUUGACCUCUCUUGGAAUGAUCUAAAUGGUUCAACUCCGGAUGCUUUUGGAAACAUGACUACUCUGGCAUAUCUUGAUCUCUCUUCGAACGAGCUACGUGGUUCAAUUCCGGAUGCUUUUGGAAACAUGACUACUCUGGCAUAUCUUGAUCUCUCUUGGAACAAGCUACGUGGUUCAAUUCCGGAUGCUUUUGGAAACAUGACUAGUCUGGCAUAUCUUGAUCUCUCUUUGAAUGAACUUGAAGGUGAGAUUCCAAAAUCCUUGACAGAUUUAUGUAAUUUACAGGAAUUAUGGUUGUCUCAGAACAAUCUCACUGGACUGAAGGAAAAAGAUUAUCUGGCCUGCCCUAAUAACACAUUAGAGGUUUUAGAUUUAUCUUAUAAUCAAUUGAAAGGGUCAUUUCCCAAUCUUUCUGGAUUUUCACAGUUGAGAGAAUUAUUUCUUGAUUUCAAUCAACUAAAGGGAACUUUACAUGAAAGUAUUGGACAACUAGCUCAACUUCAACUGUUGUCCAUUCCUUCAAAUUCAUUGCGAGGCACUGUCUCCGCAAACCACCUUUUUGGUCUCUCCAACCUGUCUUACUUAGACUUAUCUUUCAACUCCCUUACAUUCAACAUAAGCCUUGAGCAAGUUCCCCAGUUUCGAGCCUCAAGUAUACUAUUGGCCUCUUGCAAAUUAGGCCCACGUUUUCCUAAUUGGCUUCAAACUCAAGAAGUUUUGAGCGAACUUGAUAUCUCUGCUUCUGGAAUUUCAGAUGUCAUUCCCAAUUGGUUUUGGAAUUUAACUUCAGAUUUAAAUUGGUUAAACAUUUCCAACAAUCACAUCUCGGGCACUUUGCCCAAUUUACAAGCAAGGUCUUAUUUGGGAAUGGAUAUGAGUUCAAAUUGCUUGGAAGGUUCAAUACCACAAUCUGUUUUCAAUGCUAGAUGGUUGGAUCUCUCCAAGAACUUGUUUUCAGGCUCAAUUUCUUUAUCGUGUGGGACUCCUAAUCAGCCUAGUUGGGGUUUGUCUCAUCUUGACCUCUCAAAUAAUCGACUAUCAGGAGAACUACCCAAUUGUUGGGAGCAGUGGAAAGAUUUAAUUGUUCUUGAUUUGGCAAAUAAUAAUUUUUCUGGGAAAAUUAAAAAUUCGAUUGGCUUGUUACAUCAGAUGCAAACAUUGCAUUUAUGUAACAAUAGUUUUACUGGAGCACUGCCUUCGUCCUUAAAGAACUGCAGAGCUUUGCGUCUUAUAGAUUUGGGAAAAAAUAAAUUGUCAGGAAAAAUAACCGCAUGGAUGGGAGGAAGCCUGUCAGAUUUGAUCGUUCUCAACCUAAGAUCUAAUGAAUUUAAUGGAAGCAUACCUUCAAGUCUUUGUCAACUGAAACAGAUUCAAAUGUUGGACCUCUCUAGCAACAAUCUAUCAGGAAAGAUACCAAAAUGUCUCAAAAAUUUAACUGCCAUGGCUCAAAAAGGAAGUCCGGUCCUUUCUUACGAAACAAUUUACAAUUUGAGUAUCCCAUAUCACUAUGUUGAUAGUACAUUGGUUCAAUGGAAAGGAAAAGAACAAGAGUACAAGAAAACUCUUAGAUUCAUUAAGAGCAUUGAUUUUUCAAGAAACCAAUUAAUUGGUGAAAUUCCAAUAGAAGUAACUGAUUUGGUAGAAUUGGUGUCUUUGAAUUUAUCAAGAAACAAUUUGAUUGGAUCAAUCCCUACAACAAUUGGUCAAUUGAAAUUAUUGGAUGUUCUUGAUCUAUCUCAAAACCAACUUAAUGGUAGAAUUCCGGAUACUCUUUCUCAAAUAGCCGAUCUAAGUGUUUUAGACCUAUCAAAUAACACCUUGUCAGGUAAAAUUCCAUUAGGCACUCAAUUACAAAGCUUUGAUGCCUCCACAUAUGAGGGAAAUCCUGGACUUUGUGGACCACCUCUUUUGAUAAGGUGUCCUGAAGAUGAACUUGGGGGAGUCUCCUUCACUAGUGGUCUUAGUAGUAAAAAAGAGGACAUUCAAGAUGAUGCAAAUAAUAUAUGGUUUUAUGGAAAUAUUGUUCUUGGAUUCAUCAUCGGAUUUUGGGGAGUUUGCGGCACUUUACUAUUCAAUAGUUCAUGGAGAUAUGCCUAUUUCCAAUUGUUGAGCAAGAUAAAGGAUUGGUUGUACAUGACAACAAUAGUAAAUAUGAAUAGAAUACGAAGGAGCCUGCAAGGUUAAAUGGUAAGACUUCUCAAAUUCUCUUUUUAGUUUUUCUGGUAAAAUGUGUUAACUUCUAUUUAUUAUCCAACAGUUAAGAAUAAAAAGUACACUUUAUGCUACUACUCAAAUCCCUCUUCUAUUAUUUGAUUGACCUUCCACAAUAUAUUGAUGAAAGCUUAGAUUUUGCAAAUAGAAGCAUCGAUAAAAUAAGCAAGCGUAGAAGAUUUUAAUAUACUUUUUUGUAAUAGUUGUGCAUAUUUAGCUUUCAUCAUGUAAAGAUUAAUCUUAUAGGCCGAGGAUCAUAGUUGAAGAAUGAUUAUUUGUAUUUUUAUUUCUAUCUUACUUCAAGUUACAAUUUUUUCUUUUAAAUGUUAAGUUAAUUUGUUGUCUUCAAAUAUUAUAAGUACAUUAAAAGUUCAAUUGUAAGUAACAUACUAAAACCUUCAUUUCUACUAAUCAAGAAGAGUCGCAACUAAGAAAUUAUUCCAAAUUGAUGAGCGUUGUUGCAUUUCAUCUUUGUAUUACAGGACUUCAGCUGGGUUGCAUCUCAAGGAUUAGUAGGUGAUAUAUGCUUUUGAGUAACGGGAGUAUUUAUGAUGGGAUAGUUACAUGCCUUAAUGCAAAAGCUUGUCAUCGGAUAAAUGACAUCAACAUGUAUUAAGUUUGCUUAUUUGGUAGUUAGCUUGGCUUUAAGUUUCUCGUGUUAUAUUCUAUUUAGAACUUUUUAAACAUUAAUUUUUGCUAUUAUAUGUACGACUUUGUAUUUUGUUGCUCUAAAAUUUAUUUGUUAUUUUUGUAGAAUCAAAUAUUAGAGGCCUUUGUAGGGGGUGCUAAAAAAAUACUUCAUCUUAGAAAAAUAUUUUUUUUUUUGCUCAAAAACAAAGUUUAUUUUUUGGGAAAUGCAAUGUGAUAAUACCCAUUAGUAUGAAAUGUGGGAUAUGCUACUACUGAAAACAGAGCACUCUGUUUUUUUGGUGCUCAAGCAUGAAAGCUCCUGUAACACAGAGAGGUCUGAUUUCCAACCGUGAAUCAAAUUGCUUAAGGUACUCCAUAUGCAGAUUGCUGGAAGUCACUUUGGGCAUCAAUCAUCUUCAAGGGACGAUGAUGAUGGGAAUUGGAUCAACGGCGGUAAAGACCAACUAUGGAAAGUUUGCUAAAAAGCUCCCAUUUCUUUAUUUUGGUUUCUGCUUUUGUAAAUAACAAUGUUAUCCAAAAUUUGUGUUGGUUGCUCAAGUUUUGUAAAAGCUAUUCAACCAAUACAAAUCGCUACAUAAUAUGCAUUUUGCCGAAGAUCUGUGAUGAUUUGGAGCUCUCUCCAAUGCCAUACCAGGUUACAACUGAAACAAGCAUCUUAUUUAGGAAUAGUUAACAACAACGAAGAACUGCAAUUUAUAUUUGUGUUUUUUGUUCCACUGAAUAUUGCAGUAAUCAACUUAUGGAAGAAGUUGGAGCUGUUGGAGAAGAAAGUGCUCUUCAUGUUUGCUCAAACAAUUCAGAGGGAAGUUUAGCUUUUGCUUUGGUAGUUGUGAAGUUGCAAACUGUUAUUAGAAUAAGAAGCCUCUACUUUUGCUUGUUACUGAAUAUGAAUUUUUUUUUUAAGAAGUAAAUUUGCUAAUUAUUGUUCUUUUUCUUAGGCACCCAAGAAAAGAGUAUGUACUUUUAGCAAAGACCAAGAGGAAACUAUUAGAGCUUCAUUUGAGCAGUGAGUGCUUAAUUUGUUCUUUUUUGUGGCAUAUGCAUGUAGUCUUAAAUUUGAUUUCCCUCUGCAUAAUUGAUGCUGAAUAUUGUGAUUUUGGAAAGAUUAAUGCUAGUCUCCUUUUCGUCUUUUAAAUUAAAUUAGAUUUGUUUACGUAUAGGUUUAAAGACCAUAAAAGGUGCACCUACAUGAUUGUAAGUGCUCUAGAUGGUGAUGGUACGUUCACAGCUGCCCAAGUUUCCCAUAAGCUCAAGCAACAAUUUGCUUGUGUUCCUCAUCAAAAAAAGAGUUGAAGACAACUUGCAUUUGAGAGAUGAAGAUCUUAAUGGUUGUGAUAUAGCCAAAGCACAGGAUUCCAAUGAUGAAACAUUGUUUUCACUAAGAAAAAGGUAACUAUAUCUUUAUGAAUUUCAUGCAAUUUUGUGAAUUAAUCUUAUUUGUGUGAUAUCCCACAUCGAAUGAGGGGAAAACUAUUAUAUAUACAUAUAUAGGUUCUCUUAGACACGUUUUAAAACUCAUGAGGGCCCCUUAAGCCCAUAAUAGAUAAUAACUACAUAGUUAGCAGUGGAUCGUUAUAGCUUGUAUGCAAACUUUAUCACAUACUUGCAUCUUUGUGGUUGCAGACUUGUAGUGUAUUUGCAUUUGCUUGCAUUUGUCAAGUACUAUACUUUGGUGAUGAAAUCAUAAAUUCAUGACACUCAAGACUUAAUCCAAUUGACAUGUUUUUUUUUUUACUAAAUACAAUAACUAAUUCUUAAGUUAUAAAUUAUAUCACCAAAUUAUUUUUUUACAAUAUAUAGUUUAUUUCAAAUUUUAUUUUAUUUUUCUUCACCUCUUAGGUUUAUCACUUUACAUUACAAAAUAAAAUAAAUUGCAAUUUCCCUUUUCACAAGAUUUUUAUUUUUACAAAAUAUUCAAUAUUUUCCAACUUUUAUAAAAUAAUUUCCGAAAUUAUAUAAUCGGCUGUUAUAAAGAUUUUAAAUUUUUGUGUUGUCAUGGGAUUAUUUUGUUGGCAUGCUUGACCCAGUUGGUAACUUAGGUUUUUUUUUUUUUUUUAAUUCGCCUGACCUUCACAUGUGGCCUAUUACCAUUGGUGGAAAAUUGUGGGUAAGGUGAGAUUUCGGUACCCAAGCUUGACCAUAUAUAUCUGUGAAUUACGCAGAAGACUCGAAAAGUCAAAGGAAAAAUCCUGGGAACCAAGCUGGAAAACACAGGACUGUUAUUUCAGGGAAGGUGUACGUUUGGGGGCAUAUUACAGCUUGGGUACUGAACAAGAGGCAUGUAAGAAGUCUGGCCAUGGAUGCAGAAGAAGAAAAGCAAAGUAAAACCCACAUCCAUGGACAGUUGGUAGAGAUAAACCACAAUCAGGAGAAACGAAUACGCCACGAAGAAACAAAGGCACAGAAUCUGACAACUGGGUUUGCGGUCGUCCAAGUUUUAAUUCUCAACACACUGGUGAUCAACAAGCCAUCCGGCAGAUGCGAACACUGGUGGGUGCCAUUCUCUCUCUCCUUAUCAGUCGGUGUGAUUUAUUUCGUCACCAUUUUUGAGGUAGUGAAGAAAUGCUACCUUCUGCUCUACCAUUUGGACGUCAACUACAUGGAGCAAGAAGCCAUUCUUCUGGAAAUGCAUGGGGGUGCUUCGUCCCGGCGACAUGAUCAGCCAUUGAAGCCAGAUGUGGUGAAGCUCCUGAGGCGUAAAGCUUAUAUCACGAUACUGAUUUCUGCCAUGCUCGC